CUGGCUCAGGAUGAACGCUGGCGGCGUGCCUAACACAUGCAAGUCGAACGAAGCAUAGGAAAUGGAGAUUCGUCGAAAGGAACUAUGACUUAGUGGCGGACGGGUGAGUAAUGUAUGAGCAACCUGCCUUUCAGAGGGGGACAACAGUUGGAAACGACUGCUAAUACCGCAUAACGUAUUUUGGGGGCAUCCCCGGGAUACCAAAGGAGAAAUCCGCUGAAAGAUGGGCUCAUAUCUGAUUAGUUAGUUGGUGGGGUAACGGCCUACCAAGACUGCGAUCAGUAGCCGGACUGAGAGGUUGAACGGCCACAUUGGGACUGAGAUACGGCCCAGACUCCUACGGGAGGCAGCAGUGGGGAAUAUUGGGCAAUGGGCGAAAGCCUGACCCAGCAAACCGCCGCGUGAAGGAUGAAGGUCUUCGGAUUGUAAACUUCUUUUAUGAGGGAUGAAGGACGUGACGGUACCUCAUGAAUAAGCCACGGCUAACUACGUGCCAGCAGCAGC
rnacentral:rRNA from 1 species